UAUCUCUUACCCAUGUCUUUUGAGU
rnacentral:rRNA from 1 species